AGUGCAACGUCUGCUUGCGGGACCAAGUAGUUGUCUUUAAACCACUGAGACAGUCGCUGGGUAGACUCAUUGUCCCCAGAAAUGACAACCAUCACUACUUUAAACCAGAGCCAGACGUCGUCUACUCUUCACUGAAGUAGUCCACCAGUCCAACCACUGACGUCCAGCUGCUGGUCUCUAACUGGUCCUCCCAGCACCUCAGACCAGAGGAGAUCGACAAAAUGAUAAAACAUUUGUUAUUGUUUUGCAUUUUGCAGCAAAAUAAUUAAUGAAAUGCAUCCAACUCUUACAAAAAACUGCUUUGUUUGUGGUAAGAGUGCAAUUCAUUGGCAUCAGCAGAAACUAGAAGAUUUAUGAUUUCUAAAUUCAUUAUAACGCAACAAAAAACUUUUAUUAUUAUUUUUUUAAAUAAACUAUGGAAACACUGAUUAUUUGCUUGUAUCCAUGUUAAUAUAUGAAGUAAACUAGUGGCCAUAGAUAAAUCAUGGGAGAGGAUGGAUUUAAUCUAAGAUGUGAAUCAUAGGCUGUAUCCCAAUUCAGGGUCUGCAGCCUUAAAGUACGCAGCCUUAACGAUCCUCAAGGGCCGCGUACUCAAAGACCGCUAAGGCCGGAAGUGCGAGGCUUGUGAAAUGGGACGGUCUAGCCUUUGUUGCGCUGCCCAGGUUGCCUAGCAACCAUGAUACUAACAGCUGGAAAUGUGUCAUACAGCUUUGUUUGACAGAAAUGAAGGAGAAAAUCUUUUGUUCAUUUGUUUGUUUGUUUCUACAUGAGCUUUGAUCAUUCUCUGUAGAAUUAAGCUCAGCUAUUGAACGGCGUAUGUUUUAAAGUAAAGGCUUUAAAACCAAGUUAGUACAAACGUCACUAAUGUCACAUAACUUUGCCGACAUGUGGCCAACAGUAAUGUUUUAAUGUUUUUCGUUAUUAAACAUUUGCACAUUAAUAAGUGACAUAACAUUCAGUACUUACUUAAAGUUUACUCUUCGGCCGCCACUCAUCCGCCGUUUUUUCGGCAAAAUUAUCCACACCCACCGCCGCGCUAUGCAUUCUGGGAUAUGUUGGGCCACGAAGUCUACACCGCCACCUCCUUAAAAUUCAGGGAAAUGAAGGACGCAUUUCAAGGCCGCAUUUCAAGCAGCCUUCGAAUUGGGACCGCCUUCGGCGUGCCGCUGUGACAUAAUGGGCCUUGAAAUGCGUACUUUAAGGCUGCAGACCCUGAAUUGGGAUACAGCCACUGUGUUCCAGUUGGUCAUCAUUGUGUCUACACAGCUUUAGUUGUAAUGUUACAGUCUGAGACAACACUGGCAUCUCAUGUUUUCUGACAGUUACAUUUUAGACACGGAAUCAAAUAAAUGAAAAAGCAACAACAACAUGCAUAAAACACCUUUUAGGAUGAAGGUAAUAGGAUAUAAAAUUUGAAUAAUAAUGAUCCAGUUAGUCAUCAGUCUCUGCACAGUUCUAAUUUUCCAGUUGGAACUCAUGGUGGUAGUGUUGUUAUCCUGGAUCAACACGAUUGAAAGUAAAAUUCUUUAGAGCUGAUUUAAAACCAGUCUACUGACUAAUGGAGAGAUGUAUAUCUGUCAUGCAAUUUUUCUGUAAUAAAGUCUGCAACAAGU
ensembl:lncRNA